ACAUUAUAUAAAAGAAGCAUGAUUAAUAUUCCCUUUGAUAAGGAGAGAUGAGGUCCUAUUGACUUUGACAACAUAUUUACAUUUUAGAUAUUGCCACCUACAUUGUGGUACCCAACCAAGUUUUUCU